rnacentral:rRNA from 1 species
GACGAACGCUGGCGGCGUGCUUAACACAUGCAAGUCGAGCGGUAAGGCCCUUUCGGGGGUACACGAGCGGCGAACGGGUGAGUAACACGUGGGUGACCUGCCCUCAGCUCUGGGAUAAGCCUGGGAAACCGGGUCUAAUACUGGAUAUGACUCCAUGACGCAUGUUGUGGGGUGGAAAGCCUUGUGCGGCUGAGGAUGGGCCCGCGGCCUAUCAGCUUGUUGGUGGGGUGANGGCCUACCAAGGCGACGACGGGUAGCCGGCCUGAGAGGGCGACCGGCCACACUGGGACUGAGACACGGUCCGGACUCCUACGGGAGGCAGCAGUGGGGAAUAUUGGACAAUGGGCGAAAGCCUGAUCCAGCGACGCCGCGUGGGUGAAGAAGGCCUGCGGGUUGUAAAGCCCUUUCAGUGGGGAAGAAAAGCCUCGACCUAACACGUCGGGUCUUGACGUAACCCAUAGAAGAAGCACCGGCUAACUCUGUGCCAGCCGCCGCUGU